CUAAGACGGUGUUUACCUUAGCAACGUCUUUGAAAAUAGACAUUCUAAGACGUUGCUGAUGUAAGCACCGUCUAAGAAUGCGUACUUUCAAAGACGGUACUGAUGUAAGCACCGUCUUU
rfam:Glycine max cultivar Williams 82 chromosome 19, whole genome shotgun sequence.